rnacentral:rRNA from 1 species
GACGAACGCUGGCGGCGUGGAUUAGGCAUGCAAGUCGAACGGUAGGAUACCUUCGGGUAUCUGAGAGUGGCGAACGGGUGAGUAACACGUAGGUGAUCUACCCUCAAGAUUGGGACAACCCAGGGAAACUUGGGCUAAUACCGGAUGAAAGCAGCAGUGAUGUUGUUUGAAAGGUGGCGUAAGCUGCCGUUUGGGGAUGAGCCUGCGCUCUAUUAGUUAGUUGGCGGGGUAAAGGCCCACCAAGGCGAUGAUAGAUAGGCGGCCUUAACGGGUGGUCGCCCACACUGGGAUUGAGAUACGGCCCAGACUCCUACGGGAGGCAGCAGUCGAGAAUAGUCUACAAUGGCCGAAAGGCUGAUAGUGCGACGCCGCGUGAACGAAGAAGCCCUUCGGGGUGUAAAGUUCUUUUAUAUGUGAGCAGUGCUUUCUAUGUGAACAGCAUGGGAGAGAGAUAUUAGCAUAUGAAUAAGCAACGGCUAACUCCGUGCCAGC